rnacentral:rRNA from 1 species
UGGGGAAUAUUGCACAAUGGGCGCAAGCCUGAUGCAGCCAUGCCGCGUGUAUGAAGAAGGCCUUCGGGUUGUAAAGUACUUUCAGCGGGGAGGAAGGGAGUAAAGUUAAUACCUUUGCUCAUUGACGUUACCCGCAGAAGAAGCACCGGCUAACUCCGUGCCAGCAGCCGCGGUAAUACGGAGGGUGCAAGCGUUAAUCGGAAUUACUGGGCGUAAAGCGCACGCAGGCGGUUUGUUAAGUCAGAUGUGAAAUCCCCGGGCUCAACCUGGGAACUGCAUCUGAUACUGGCAAGCUUGAGUCUCGUAGAGGGGGGUAGAAGUCCAAGUGUAGCGAUGAAAUGCGUAGAGAUCUGGAGGAAUACCGGUGGCGAAGGCGGCCCCCUGGACAAGGACUGACGCUCAGGUGCGAAAGCAUGGGAAGCAAACAGG